UACGUAGGGACCAAGCGUUGUUCGGAUUUACUGGGCGUAAAGGGCGCGUAGGCGGCGUGACAAGUCACUUGUGAAAUCUCUGGGCUUAACCCAGAACGGCCAAGUGAAACUGUUGUGCUAGAGUGCAGAAGGGGCAAUCGGAAUUCUCGGUGUAGCGGUGAAAUGCGCAGAUAUCGGGAGGAACACCAAUGGCGAAGGCAGCUCGCUGGGACGGUACUGACGCUGAGGCGCGAAAGCGUGGGGAGCAAACAGG
rnacentral:rRNA from 1 species